rnacentral:rRNA from 1 species
GACGAACGCUGGCGGCGCGCCUAACACAUGCAAGUCGAACGGAGAAAAGACAGCUUGCUGGAUUUUCUUAGUGGCGGACGGGUGAGUAACACGUGAGCAACCUGCCCCUCAGAGAGGGAUAACGUUUGGAAACGAACGCUAAUACCUCAUAACAUCGGGAUGCGGCAUCGCAACCUGAUCAAAGAUUUAUCGCUGAGGGAUGGGCUCGCGUCCGAUUAGGUAGUUGGUGAGAUAACAGCCCACCAAGCCGACGAUCGGUAGCCGGACUGAGAGGUUGAACGGCCACAUUGGGACUGAGACACGGCCCAG